rnacentral:rRNA from 1 species
AGAGUUUGAUCCUGGCUCAGAGCGAACGCUGGCGGCAGGCCUAACACAUGCAAGUCGAGCGCCGUAGCAAUACGGAGCGGCAGACGGGAGAGUAACACGUGGGAACGUGCCCUUUGGUUCGGAACAACCCAGGGAAACUUGGGCUAAUACCGGAUAAGCCCUUACGGGGAAAGAUUUAUCGCCGAAGGAUCGGCCCGCGUCUGAUUAGCUAGUUGGUGGGGUAACGGCCCACCAAGGCGACGAUCAGUAGCUGGUCUGAGAGGAUGAUCAGCCUCACUGGGACUGAGACACGGCCCAGACUCCUACGGGAGGCAGCAGUGGGGAAUAUUGGACAAUGGGCGCAAGCCUGAUCCAGCCAUGCCGCGUGGGUGAUGAAGGCCCUAGGGUUGUAAAGCCCUUUCGGCGGGGAAGAUAAUGACGGUACCCGCAGAAGAAGCCCCGGCUAACUUCGUGCCAGCAGCCGCGGUAAUACGAAGGGGGCUAGCGUUGCUCGGAAUCACUGGGCGUAAAGCGCACGUAGGCGGCUUUUUAAGUCAGGGGUGAAAUCCUGGAGCUCAACUCCAGAACUGCCUUUGAUACUGAGAAGCUUGAGUCCGGGAGAGGUGAGUGGAACUGCGAGUGUAGAGGUGAAAUUCGUAGAUAUUCGCAAGAACACCAGUGGCGAAGGCGGCUCACUGGCCCGGUACUGACGCUGAGGUGCGAAAGCGUGGGGAGCAAACAGGAUUAGAUACCCCAGUAGUCC